GCUAAAAGAAAAUCCUGCUUCGACUGUCGUCCUUCUUGUUUUCAUGUUUGUGCUCUGAAUAUGAAGAUACCAAGCUAUUCAGUUUUACAAAGCCUGGGAUUUCUAUCGGAAAUUACAUCGAGCACAAGCGUUGCUGAAGAAGAAUAGGCUCUCUUGACAAUAAAUCGAAAUCGUUUGGUAUUCCUGAAAUAUACAUCAAAUGUAAAUGGCAGCUACAGGUAAUGGUUCGAUCAAGAACGAUGGCAUGCUGGCUGAAAAAGGAGAGCUGAAAGCACAGAAUAAAAAUCUAUACGUGGCGUCAUUGGUUGCUCAG